UGCAGUCGACGCACUUUCGUUAAUUGAUUUUGAGAUGCUUGCAUCGAAGAUGAUUUUAACUAUAAAGUGAGUGGCGAACGGGUGAGUAACACGUGGGUAACCUGCCCAGAAGUGGGGGAUAACACCUGGAAACAGAUGCUAAUACCGCAUAACAAAAUUAACCGCAUGGUUGAUUUUUAAAAGAUGGCUUCGGCUAUCACUUCUGGAUGGACCCGCGGCGUAUUAGCUAGUUGGUGAGAUAAAGGCUCACCAAGGCAGUGAUACGUAGCCGACCUGAGAGGGUAAUCGGCCACAUUGGGACUGAGACACGGCCCAGACUCCUACGGGAGGCAGCAGUAGGGAAUCUUCCACAAUGGACGCAAGUCUGAUGGAGCAACGCCGCGUGAGUGAUGAAGGCUUUCGGGUCGUAAAACUCUGUUGUUGGAGAAGAACGUGUGUGAGAGUAACUGCUCAUGCAGUGACGGUAUCCAACCAGAAAGCCACGGCUAACUACGUGCCAGCAGCCGCGGUAAUACGUAGGUGGCAAGCGUUAUCCGGAUUUAUUGGGCGUAAAGCGAGCGCAGGCGGUCUUUUAAGUCUAAUGUGAAAGCCUUCGGCUUAACCGAAGAAGUGCAUUGGAAACUGGGAGACUUGAGUGCAGAAGAGGAGAGUGGAACUCCAUGUGUAGCGGUGAAAUGCGUAGAUAUAUGGAAGAACACCAGUGGCGAAGCGGCUCUCUGGUCUGCAACUGACGCUGAGGCUCGA
rnacentral:rRNA from 1 species